GUAAAUGUAAAUUUUUUGAACGAUAACUAUGUAAUAGCCGGUACUGUGCUGGAAAUGGAACCUGCUGCUCUGUGAUUCUGAUCAGCUUUUUAACCGUCAAGGGUCCUCAAGCCCUAAGAGUCCAUCACCCUGAGAGUCGAUCAAGCUCUACUGUAACCAAGAUUUCAUGUAUAUAAUACUAGUGUCAUCCUGGGCAGUUUAUUAAUACACUACCAAUGACACCACCAUGCAUGGUACACUUAUAUAUACGGCAACUUGUGGUUUAAUACCUCUUGGCAAAAGGGCUCUUUAGGUCAGAGGGCUGCGGUAGAAUUGCCGGGCUGCAGGUUCAAUUCAUGCUGACAGGCUUGUAAUUGUAUUCCACAUGUAUUCAUGAUAUCAUUCUAAUCAAAAUUUCAUUUUAGAACUUCAUUAAAAAAUAUUAUAGGUCAUAUACGAGUAUAUCAUGAUUAUAUUAUGCUACAGCAAAUUGUAUUUCCUGCUAUAAUAUACCUUACUUGCAGAGAUAAUAAAUUAUUUUGAC